rnacentral:sRNA from 1 species
ACAAGAAGGUCACAUUAGUUUGAGUAGUCGAAGAAAGAGCGGGGAAAAAAGACAAAGCGAAAUAAAACGCAACUAACGCCUAAGUACCUAUGAAGAUAAGCGAUUGUCUUUUAUCCGCAAUUCUCACGUUCCUGGACUCAACAGCCCGCUUGCCACGGGAAGCCUGAUUUAAACUGGAGGACGGCAGGUAUCCAGAGUCCGCAUAUUACCGAACGAGCACCCCGUCGGCCAUGCAUCCCUCGGCAUAUAACAGUGUCACCUUGGAUUGGGAUUUUGUUAUCGAUUUACGAAAUCACCAUAAACAUCGCUCACGUACGGUGGGGCCACACCACUUUUCGCAGCAGGAACCGUGCAAAAGUUAUAGACAUAAACCUGUCCUCGAACAACGUUUCCGUCGCCGUCGAGGAAUGGCAUGUGCCCGAUGAGUGGACCCCUACAGGAUACUUCACAAUAUGAAAUGGCAAAGAGAAGGAUCAAGGCCUAUCGUAAUCCUAAGCGGUCAGACUGGAUCCGUUUUUCUAAAGCCGUAUAGAAGAUUCUACCUGACCCCCGGGAAGGGGACAUCCUUCACACGGGAGUACUAAAGGAAGAGGCACAGAACGUCACAAUGGCUCCACAUAAAACAUUUCUCAAAUCCUACCCGAUCAGCUAACUUCCAAAGUCCAAUCGGAACUAGUGGUGGACAUGAGAGCUAAGCGAGAUCAACAAAGCCAAAGUGACGAGCAAACAAGAAUUUAGGAGUGCAUAUCAUCACAAUUUCAAUGCCUAAAAAAACAUUCGUCCGUCGGUUAUAGGGCGCGCGCAUGUGGGGAAUCCGAUUUCUCCUCUGCACGGCUGACAACUGUUCCUCCGUUGAUUUGGAAUGUGCUGACACUUCCGGACUCUGGGGCUGGUCUUUGGCCGUUCCUACCAGCUGACAUUCCCAUUCUGACAUACGGAUGUUUGGUAUGGUGAGAGGCGGCCGACACAAAGCUUCACCUGGAAAACUUCCAUAGAGUCCAACGAGUAGCAUACCUUGGGGCCACUGGAUCUUUUCUUCUUCACUGACGGCAGUGAGGCAGUCGUAUAGCCGGGAGAUGGAAUCUUCUGCAAUGAUCUGGUGACCAACAUAUCCCUAACACUAGGUAGAGAUAUAUGCAGUAAGGCAAGCGGCGAAGUUGAUAUACACCUUAGAUAUACCUCCGAGGAACAUAGUAAUGUUGAUGGCGAGACUGAUAUCAAAGCCUUAGUAUUUUGCAAGAUCACAACUGGACUCGUACGCGAGACAGUGGACGGACCGAGCCAAACCAAUCACGCGGGUCACGGGCCAGACCGACAUCGCGGGCAACGAGAUUUUGCCAGAACUGGAUCGGCCAAGCCGAUUGCGGCCGCGGAGACCACUACGAGUCUUUAUCUGGCAGAUGAGGGGCCAUUUCAGAUGAGCUUCAAGAAAUGUCAGUUGCGUGCACUGACAGCGCACUGUGUCAUCGGUCGCAAGGGCAUCAGAUACAGACUGCCACACCAUGACUUCUGUCGUACCUGCAUGGCAAAACAGUGGAUAAAUUAAUAGAUUAAAUCAGAGCUUCAAAGCUUGUAGCAUAUUGGGUAUUAGAAACCUUCGAGGAAGGCUGAGCAGGUGAUGGUUCGUCUCCCG